GCUGGGUGCAGUGGCACGUGCCUGUAGUCCCAGCUACUUGGGAGGCUGAAGUGGGGGGAUCGCUUGAGCCCAGGAGUUCUGGGCUGUACAGUGCGCUACGCCGAUCGGGUGUCAGCUCUAAGUUUGGCAUCAAUAUGGUGGCUUCCCGGCAGCGGGGGACCACCAGAUUGCCUAAGGAGGGGUGAACCAGCCCAGGUCGGAAACGGAGCAGGUCAAAACUCCCAUGCUGAUCAGUAGUGGGAUCACGCCUGUGAAUAGCCACUGCACUCCAGCCUGGGCAACACAGUGAGAAUCUGUCUCA
rnacentral:SRP_RNA from 1 species